AUGCCAGGGUCAUUCCGGCUGUUGGGACGGCCACAAAUGUCUCAAGAGGCCAAAUACCCCCUUUGCGGGAAGGUCAUCCAGGUUGGAGCCGCUGUGAAGGAGACAAUCUGGGUUUUGGGGAAGUGACCCUUUUCAAAAGCCGGAAGCAAUGAAGUCUUGCCUACAUGAACGACUUGUGGACGGGCUCCCGCUCAGAACUCUCGGUCCCGCUCCAGCGGCUCGAGUCGGGCGUCGGAGUCGCAGCCGGCCCCCGAACCCGAAAGAAGGCAGCGGUUGAAGGAGGAGAUCCAGGAAGAGAUCGCAGAGCAGAACCCCAUUUUGCUUAAGUUAAAGGUUGCAUGGGUCAUUUGUCGUGAAGAGGGACGCAAGGUUCACCUUUUUUGCAUAUGAGGCUACAGUAUUUGAAGGGGGAGAGUGAGAGAAGGAACACAAGCAGGGCGAACAGAAAAAAGAGAAGCAGGACCCUGGAAUCAUGACAUGAGCCGAAGGCAGAUGCUUAAGGACUGAGCCACGCAGGUGCCCCUUGCCUUCAGCUUUUAGGUCAACUAAUGACUAGGAGGAAAGAACGAUAACUUAUUUGGAAUCCAAUUUAAAUUUCACAAUUGAAAUAUGUCUGUGUUUGAAAACCACUUUCCCUGAGGAAGAGAGGUUGAACUUAACAGUGACAUCCAGUGUGUUUCCAUUUGAGACACAGACAACCUCUCUGAUGAAUUUAUAGAUGCAAAGGACCUGAUUGACAAACAGCUCAUCUACCAAAAGAAGCCUAUAGACAAAAAAUGGAUGGACAUUUUUGGAGAGCUGGAAACAAAUUCCUACAAAUCCAAAAGCCUGCUAUUGCUCGUAAGUAAAAAUCCAAAGUAUUCUAUGCUCGAAUGUUUGUGCUGAGAGGCUGUUUCAGUUGAUGUUAUCGCAUUGGACUGACACCAGCAAUCGAUGUAAUGUGGGCUUGGUAAGAGCACAGCUGCAAGUCAAAGAGAACUUUAUAUUUGACUGGAUUCAGUUUUACUGCUACAUGAAAGAAAAGAAGGAUGUCCUAAAGGCUGCGAGCAGUUCACAGAAGUAUUAUUGGAAAAGAAAACAGAAAGUAAAAAUAUCCUGUAUUAUAAGACAGAAAGAAACAUGCCAUUGUCAUUUUAAAUAAAUAUAGCAACAUCUGUUUAGUUCAUCUUACU